rnacentral:rRNA from 1 species
GCGUCUGAUUAGCUUGUUGGUGAGGUAAGGCUCACCAAGGCGACGAUCAGUAGCUGGUCUGAGAGGAUGAUCAGCCACACUGGGACUGAGACACGGCCCAGACUCCUACGGGAGGCAGCAGUUAGGAAUCUUGCGCAAUGGGGGAAACCCUGACGCAGCCAUGCCGCGUGAAUGAUGAAGGUCUUAGGAUUGUAAAAUUCUUUCAGCGGGGACGAUAAUGACGGUACCCGCAGAAGAAGCCCCGGCUAACUUCGUGCCAGCAGCCGCGGUAAUACGAAGGGGGCUAGCGUUGCUCGGAAUUACUGGGCGUAAAGGGCGCGUAGGCGGAUGUUUAAGUCAGAGGUAAAAGCCCAGGGCUCAACCUUGGAACUGCCUUUGAUACUGGACAUCUUGAGUACGGGAGAGGUGUGUGGAACUCCGAGUGUAGAGGUGAAAUUCGUAGAUAUUCGGAAGAACACCAGUGGCGAAGGC